GAUGAAGGGGGCUAGCGUUGUUCGGAAUUACUGGGCGUAAAGCGCGUGUAGGCGGUUGUCCAAGUUGGAUGUGAAAGCCUUGAGCUUAACUCAAGAAAUGCAUUCAGGACUGGAUGGCUAGAGGACCGGAGAGGAUAGUGGAAUUCCCAGUGUAGUGGUGAAAUACGUAGAGAUUGGGAAGAACACCAGUGGCGAAGGCGGCUAUCUGGACGGUUUCUGACGCUAAGACGCGAAAGCGUGGGGAGCAAACAGG
rnacentral:rRNA from 1 species